rnacentral:rRNA from 1 species
GAUGAACGCUGACAGAAUGCUUAACACAUGCAAGUCAACUUGAAUUUGGGUUUUUUAACUUAGAUUUGGGUGGCGGACGGGUGAGUAACGCGUAAAGAACUUGCCUCACAGCUAGGGACAACAUUUGGAAACGAAUGCUAAUACCUGAUAUUAUGAUUAUAAGGCAUCUUAGAAUUAUGAAAGCUAUAUGCGCUGUGAGAGAGCUUUGCGUCCCAUUAGCUAGUUGGAGAGGUAACGGCUCACCAAGGCGAUGAUGGGUAGCCGGCCUGAGAGGGUGAACGGCCACAAGGGGACUGAGACACGGCCCUUACUCCUACGGGAGGCAGCAGUGGGGAAUAUUGGACAAUGGACCAAGAGUCUGAUCCAGCAAUUCUGUGUGCACGAUGACGUUUUUCGGAAUGUAAAGUGCUUUCAGUUGGGAAGAAAAAAAUGACGGUACCAACAGAAGAAGUGACGGCUAAAUACGU